rnacentral:ribozyme from 13 species
GCGAAAAGCAUAUAGAAUUCAUAGAGAAAACACAGAGAGAGAGAGCAAUGAAGUUCUAUGAUGCCUGGUGCAUUCCUUUUAUCUUUUCUUUUGAGUUGUCUUUUUUUUCUGAUUAUUU